rnacentral:rRNA from 1 species
AAAACGACUCUCGGCAACGGAUAUCUCGGCUCUCGCAUCGAUGAAGAACGUAGCGAAAUGCGAUACUUGGUGUGAAUUGCAGAAUCCCGUGAACCAUCGAGUCUUUGAACGCAAGUUGCGCCCCAAGCCGUUAGGUCGAGGGCACGCCUGCCUGGGUGUCACGC